rnacentral:rRNA from 1 species
AGCAGCCGCGGUAAUUCCAGCUCCAAUAGCGUAUAUUAAAGUUGCUGCAGUUAAAAAGCUCGUAGUUGAAUUUCGGAACCAAUAUGUUGGUUGUGCCUCGGUACGUACUGGCAUUGUUGGUUUCUCCCUUCUGACGAACUAUGAUGUCAUUAAUUUGGUGUCAUGGGGAAUCAGGACUGUUACUUUGAAAAAUUAGAGUGUUUAAAGCAAGCUCACGCUUGAAUACAUUAGCAUGGAAUAAUGAAAUAGGACGUUUGAUUCUAUUUUGUUGGUUUCUAGGAUUGACGUAAUGAUUAAUAGGGAUAGUUGGGGGCAUUAGUAUUCAAUUGUCAGAGGUGAAAUUCUUGGAUUUAUUGAAGACUAACUACUGCGAAAGCAUUUGCCAAGGAUGUUUUCAUUAAUCAAGAACGAAAGUUAGGGGAUCGAAGACGAUCAGAUACCGUCGUAGUC